GACGAACGCUGGCGGCGUGCCUAAUACAUGCAAGUAGGACGCAGUUGCGAACGGGUGAGUAACGCGUAGGUAACUACCUAUUAGAGGGGGAUAACUAUUGGAAACGAUAGCUAAUACCGCAUACUAGUAGAUGGACCUGCGUUGUAUUAGCUAGUAGGUGAGGUAAUGGCCUACCUAGGCAACGAUACAUAGCCGAACCGGUGAGGGUAACCGCCAACCUGGGACUGAUGAAACGCCCAGACUCCUUAGGGAGGCAGCAGUAGGGAAAUGUCGGCAAUGGGGGGAACCCUGACCGAGGACAGCCGGGGUAGUGGAGAAGGUUUUCCGAUCGUAAAGCUCUGUUGUGCAGGAAGCGGUACUCACACAGAAAGGGACGGCUAACUACGUGCCAGCAGCCGCGGUAAUUC
rnacentral:rRNA from 1 species